rnacentral:lncRNA from 1 species
GUGUGAGUGUGUGUGUGUGUGUGUGUGUAAGCCCCAGGUGAAUGUGCUUACUGUUACCCUCCGGACCUAAUCAGACCAGAAAGCCCUUUGCUGUCAGCAUUUUAUAACUGCAUUAGGAAAUUAAAACCUGUGUUAUUGUUUUUUUCAUUGACUCAUUGCCUCUCAUAGGCCCAUGCAUCUCCUUUGUACCGUAUUUAAACACACUGUAAUUCUCCCUAGAAUAUUAUAGCAAAAUGUCAGAAUCCUGCAGCCUGACGAAACUCUUAGAAAGGUUUUCAUCCAGAAUUGGUUUUUGUCCUCCGUGAGAUAGAUUGCGCCCUUCUCUCCACUAGAAUCUUGGCCUCACGUGAGAGAUCGAGGCACGGGUAGGACGCGGCCGGUGGCACGCUCGUUUCCCUGAGCAGCCCGGCUUCGCAGGGGGCCAGGGGCGGCCUGCCUGUGACGGGGGCCGCGUGAACUCACUCCGCUUGCUGUCGUGUUGCGAGCCAAGUGCCACUCGAAAGGUAGCGCUAGCUUGGCGGCGUCUUUCAGAAGCAUGUCCUCCUGUAGACUGAGCUGCUUUGUGACAGAUUUCCCUCUGGGAUGGAGAACUUGUUCCUUCUGUUUCAGAGGCGGAGAAGCGUGUGCUGUGUGUGCUCCUGCUACCGAAGGCGUGCAGCGACCGCAGCCGGUGAGUCCCUGACCGGGUGCCAGUCAUGGCGGUCACUCGCCUCCCUCCUUGAGAUCCAAAGCUGACUUGUGGAGUCUGUGUUUCUCGGAGCCUCCAGCCUGUUUGAGGGGACGCUGGUGCCACAUUUCCUUCUGCAGGGAAACGCACUGGUGGCCGCCACAUGAAAGCUUGCCUUCUUACUGGCUCCCCUCCCAUCACAAUGCUCUUGUCUCCCAUCGUGCCAUUCGCGGAGGGACAUCUGAUGUGUCCCCACUUCAAAAUGGAAUGUGGUGCCCAUGUCUCAGCCUGUCGGACAAAGGAGGACACAUCCGUCCAACUGUCACCUCUGGCUGGCUGCUGUGACUUGGAGCGCGCAACCUCAGACUUGAGAAAGACAGCCGUGCUCCCUGCCCAGUGCGGUCCCACCAGCAAAUGCCGUGUGCAGUGUCCCCUGGAGGGACGGUGGCCAGUGACUCUUCUCUACAGGAGAGAGCCGCUCACAAGGGGAUAGGGGAAAACCCUCAAGCACGUACCCAGCCAGGAAGCGAAUGUGACUUCCAGGGAGGUGGGCCCAGCCUUGGCUCCCUCUGUCCCCGCUGCCAUCCCGGGGCUGGGCAUCUUGGGUUGAUGGGGUGCAGGGGCUGGAGAAGGAAGCCGGCCCCUAUUUGGGGCACCCUUCCUGGCCCCCACCCCACCCUGGCCUCCCUGAGCACCUUCCAAGAUGCAGACACCUCCCAGGGGCUGUGAUUGUCCCCAUGCCACCACCUCAGACUCUGCACCCUUGCCCGGGGUGAGUCCUCGGCAUGGCCACGGUCCAGGGCGCUGCCUCCCAGGAGACAGCUUGGCCCCAUGGAGCCUGACCCCGGCCCCAUGUUGCAGGCUUCUCUUCUCGCAGCACUGAGGUUAUUUACCUCCUGGCUUCUCUGUGCAGGUGCACUCUGGGAAACUCCGUUCCAUCCCCCAAGCUCCAGAAGAGCAGCGUGUCGCUGUGACCGGCAGUCCCUUUGUCUCUUACAUGGGCGCAGCAGGCUGGCUGUGAGCGGUGAUGCUACAGGGCCCUGGGGACAGAAGCUGCACCUACCUCACCCCCACAGGCCCCCUUCUUGAAGGGUCUGGGCGAUGUCUUUUCUGUUAGCGCCUCCGAAUUCGCGGCCUGCUGCCAACAGAUGAGGAGAGCGUGUGAGUGAAGAAGAAAGCGUCGGCUUCUCUGUUCUGCAUGCAAAUCCCCAAGGCUGACCGAGGAGAGGUGGCAAAGAGGACAGGAGUGAAAACGCCAAGACUGGGAAUUUGGCCGCUUCUAGACCUCACCCCGGUAAUCUGUUCAAGAGGUCGACAAGGAUUCCCGGAGCUCUAGUGAGAAC